rnacentral:rRNA from 1 species
CAGCCGCCGCGGUAAUACGGAGGGAGCUAGCGUUGUUCGGAAUUACUGGGCGUAAAGCGCACGUAGGCGGCUUUGUAAGUUAGAGGUGAAAGCCUGGAGCUCAACUCCAGAAUUGCCUUUAAGACUGCAUCGCUUGAAUCCAGGAGAGGUGAGUGGAAUUCCGAGUGUAGAGGUGAAAUUCGUAGAUAUUCGGAAGAACACCAGUGGCGAAGGCGGCUCACUGGACUGGUAUUGACGCUGAGGUGCGAAAGCGUGGGGAGCAAACAGGAUUAGAUACCCCAGUAGUCCCUGUCUCUUAUAC